AGGACUCCCUGUAGGGUCCUGCUGACCGGUACCUUCCCUGGCAUCUUCCCCAGUACCUGGCCCCUCACCCAGCUCAAGGAUGGUUGGGAAUGCUGUCAUUGUUAAUCACUUGGGCUGAGCUACAAUCUGUCUUGCCUCCAAGAGUUGAAGACAGCAGGUUGGUGAGAGGGCUUCUGGAGCAUCAGCUGCUGGAGGCUCGAUGCUCUCAGCUUCUCCCUCUCCCUGCCAUCUGCUGCCCCUGGCCUUGUUCUGGAGCCCAGACCACUCGGCCUGGUGGUAGGUGUGUCCCCAACCUACCACACCCAUUGGUGAGCUACUGGUUCCAAGCAAGCCCUGAGUCUCCUACACUGAGGACAGUUUCGACUUGCUGCAAAAGUGUUUACACUGUCAGCUCAAAAGUCACAGGCAGCCUUACCAAAGCAGCUCCUUUUGGGCCCUCUUGAAGCUGGGAGAUGAAUUCAUUUUGUUCCUUGGAAAUUGAAGGUAAAACUCAAACACGAGAUUCAGCUGCCUCGAAUCCUGCCUGCAAUUCGUUGGUUGUGACAUUACUGUUGGGUUCUACGUCUAUGUCAUUAACAAAGUCAACCCAGCAUCCUGAAGAUGGCUGACAAUUGACAGCCUAGAGGCAGGUAGGUAAGGAUUUGAAUCUAUCUCUGCUGCUUACCAGCUUCAAGGUCUUAGCCAGUCAAAUGGCAAAAAUGUUUGUCCCCAUUCACUCUUAAGUGUUUGUUACAUCCCUGCUAUGUGCCAGACAAUGACCUAGGCACUGGCAUCGCAAUGAUGAACAAAGUGGAUAGGAACCCUGUUUUCCUUCUAUCAUGGAGGAGACAGGGAACAAAAAGAUGGCAAAGGAUAUGACCUGACGUAAAGGAAAAGCAAGCAUGGGCCAUCCGAGGAGCUGUCCGAGAGGAAUGAGUGGGUUUCAUUCGUACAGUUCCCAAAUGCAGAAUGGACUGAGCCUAUGUGUGCGCACUGGCAGACCAGAGACCUAGCUGGCCAUGGGGGCUCACACCUGCAAUUCUAGCACUUGGAAAGAAGCAGAGGCAGGGGCAUUGUGAUGUUAAAGCUAGCAUGGCCUACAUAGACUUAAAAAAAAAAAUCUCAAAAAGCAGGGCAUGGUGGCGCAUGACUAAGAUUCCAGCACUGGGGAGGCAGAGGCAGAGAGAGGCAGGUAGAUCUCUUAGGAAUUCAAGGCCUGUCUAUUUUGCAUAGUGAGUUACAGGCCAGGCAAGGCUAUACAGCAAAGACCUUGUUUCAAACAAAAUACAAAACC
rnacentral:lncRNA from 1 species